UCAUCCCUGCAUACAAUCCCACGUCUCAUCUCCUGUGAGGUCUCUCCUCAUCAGAACUAUCCUGUGUUUCAUCCCUGCAUACAAUCCCACGUCUCAUCUCCUGUGAGGUCUCUCCUCAUCAGAACUAUCCUGUGUUUCAUCCCUGCAUACAAUCCCACGUCUCAUCUCCUGUGAGGUCUCUCCUCAUCAGAACUAUCCUGUGUUUCAUCC